ACCACUCUGUGGUAGUAUUAUGGUCAAGGAGGUGUAUCUGAGGCAUGACUAUUGCUAUUUAAAAACUUUUCCCAGUACCCUGUGGUGACACUUUGCAAUAUAGCCAGCACUGGCAAUUUUUGACAGUCUUUACAGAGA